GUGGUCCUGAAGGGGGCGCUGGAGGCAUAGUGGUAGAUGAUGGGCAGGAAGGUCAAGGAGAGGUCUAGAGGGGACACUAAAGUAACAAAGGAGGAGGUGGAGGGAAGCCGACCUGGAGACUAUGGGAGUACCGACAAGGUCAGUGCUUCAGAGCAAAAUCCUGCAAGAGGUGAGGAGGCCUGUGUUUAGGGGGUGCUGGGUGGCGGAAUGGGGUUCCGAAGGAAUCUUGCGAUGUAAGUUGGAGAGCCAUAAACCUCGUGGGCACAGGAGUGAUACAGGCGCUGUGAGGGGAGACAGAGGAACUAGGGAGGCCAGAGGGAGAUGGAUGGAGACAAGGAAAUUCCAUUGAAAUUUUGGAAUAUUGGAAAGUUGUAAAACAUAUCUUAAAAAAAAAAAAUCAGCGGGCCUCAAAUGUGUCGUCUUCGACCUUGUGUUCAUCUUCAACCCACCUGCAGCCUUUACUCAAGCAGCUCCAGGUGCCAUCGGACGGGUGGAGCCAGGGCAGACGCUCAGAGAUGGAAGGCAGGAGGCACAUGCGUGGGACCAUAGGUCCCGUUCAGGUCUUUCCACUUGAUAAUGUUCUCAACAGAAGCAUUCUUUGUGGGCAGGUGGGUGAUGAAGUGAGUGGAUGGAAAAGAGAACGGAAAUUGGGGGGUGAUGGUUUGCAGUGCAAACCCCAAGGUCAACAGGACCUUCCCUCAGAACCCCUCACAAUCCUCGGAGUUUUUUUUUUUUUUUUUUUUUUUUUUUCUUGCAUUUCCACAGCUAGGUGUUUUGUUUUGCCGCUGUAAAGGUAUGGCUCUCAACAUUUAGCACAUUUCAAAACUGUAAUCUAGUUUGUUGGUUGUGAAUAAAAUACAUUUGUAUGUUGGGGUAAGUCUCAAAGGAGAGCACACAGUUUGAGGAACAGGCUUAAAAAAAAAAGUGACCUACCCCGUUUUCAUAGUCUUGAUUCAAGCACACUCCCUAACACACCUGGGUGUGGACCGCCCUCGUAUCUGCAGCCAAGGAGUUUUUCCACGUCUACACGGAUGCUUUCUCUCUCAACCUGUUCCCCCGGCACUUCCUCAGAGCUGUUUGUCUCUUUUGCAUAUGUUAUAUACGCAAAGAUUUUUUUUUUUAAAUUCUAAUAGUGCUCAAGACAAUUUUAACAGAAAUUCUCAUACCAUUCAUGAGUUAGAUUUGUGGGCUUUCUCCUCACAUCUGAGAUUUGUGUGGGGGGAGUGUGUCUGUGUGUGUGGUGUGUUUGUGUGUGUUAUGAGUCUCUCUCUCUCUCUCUCUCUCUCUCUCUCUCGUGCGUGUGUGUGCGUGUGAAUGCUGGAACUUGAGCUGGGAAGAUAAAUAUUUGGAGAGCCUAGUGAAGAGUGCUAUAAGAACUUUUUAAAAGAAUCACUUAGAUGACUUUUUCUGCUUGAAGAGUAUGCACUUGUUCAGGGUCUUCAUGGGUAAUUUUGCAGCUAGAGGAUUUCCUUAGGAUAUACAUUAUAGAUUGAUAUUGAAAUUUAAAAAAAAAUUAAAAACUCCACUGCAACUCUCUCUCUCGACUAUAGCCCAGCUGAACUAUUUUUUCAUUAUUGUUUUUCAUUAAUUAUUUAUUUUGAGUCAGGGUCUCCAAGUGGUGGGAAGAACCUGAGGCAGCCUAACCCUUUCUGUGGUUCACUCAGGAUUUUCUCUUUGUCUGCUUGUUGUUUUGAGAGAGUCUCAUGUAGCCCAGGCUGGCCUAAGGUGCUCAAUCCUACUUCAGUCCCCCUGGUUCUGGGAUUAUAGGGGUGUCCUGCCACAUUCAGAAAACUUACAUUUUUGAGGAGUGGACUCCAGGUUCAUGCUAAACAAGUGCUCCACCACUGAGAUAUGCCAGAGGCUGUUGCAUUUGUUUGUUUUUUUCACAGAGUUCUUGCUGUGUAGACUAGGCUAGCUCUGAAUUUCUCUAUCUUCCUGCCUCAGUUCCCUGUGCUAGGAUUACAAUCGUUUACCUCCUGGCCUAGCUUGCUUUCCAUUCUUCUAAAUGGCUCCAGGGGGCAGAAAAAUGGCCCAGCAGGUAAAGGGCUUGUCACCAAGCCUUCUUACAGAAGUUUGAUCCCUGGAACCUAUAUGAGGAAAAGAGAAAAUUGGUUUUUUUUUUCUUCACCUUUGUUUUUUCUUCUUGCUUUUUUAUUCCUUAAAAAAUAUUCAUUUUAUUUUGUGUAUGCAUUUUGUCUGCAUGUAUAUAUGUGCGCCUGUGUAUGUCUAGUGCCUGGGGAGACCAGAGAGGGUCUUCAGAAUCCCUGGAACUGGAAUUAGGGAUGCUUGUGAGAUGCCAUGUGGGUGCUGAAAACUGAACCUGGAUCCUCUGCAAUAUCAAAAAAGUGUUCAUAGUCUAUGAGCCAUUUCUCCAUCCUGCUCUCUCUUUUGAGAUAAGGUUUCAUGUAACCCAAGAUGGCCAUGUGCCUGAGGAUGACCUUGAACCGGUGAGCCUCCUGUCUCUACUUCUUGAGUGCUGAAAUUACUGGUUUGUGCCAGUGUACUCAAGCUCAAGUGCAGAUAUAGGUAGAGAUAGAUACAGAUAUAUGAAUGAGACAUAGGCCAGUGAGAGGAGGGAUAUGGGAAGGGAAAUGAGGUAGAACGAGAGGAGCAGAGUGGGAGUUUCAUAAAAGGAGAAAGCUGAAUUGUUAGCAUACUUUUGGGGAAAAAAACUUUCAUUUACAUUUAUUAUAUCUUUUUCUCCCUACUCCACCCCGAUGCCUUCCAACACCUCACCACCAAGUCGGAGAGAGAAAGGGUUAGUGAGAGAGGGGGUGUAAUUUUCUUUCUUAGCUGCUUCCUGCUGGUUAGGGUUGUUGGGUUCCUUGGAGCCAGUCCAGUCCUUGUUUUAGGAGAUCUAAAACUUCUUGUUUGACAACAGCAACCAGGAGCAGCAAGGGGGAAGCAGGAACAGCCUUGCUCUUUCUACCUGCACCACACUCUCUGGGCUCUGGCAUUUAUUCUCUCUCCAGGGUCCUCAGAUUUAAACUACUUGCAGCUGGCAAGGAGCUCCCCUCUGAGCCUGCAAGGAGCUCCUCUCUGAGCCUGCAUGAGGCAAACUGUCUGCUGCUGUGAGCUAUCUGAAUCAGUCCCACAUCCCACACCUGGGAUCCAAACAAAAACAUCUUUACAUCCACAACACUGAACUGGGAAUAAGGAGCUGAAGAGAGGCUCCAAAGAUGGAGGUGGGACAAGCCCUCCCUGUUCUGAUUUUGCUUGUAGUCCUGGAGACGGUAUUUGGAAGGGGGCACCUCUAAAAGCUGUGCUGGUUUUCUGCUGGUGGGCCUGAGAACUCAGGAACUUUAGCACAGUGAGGUGUGACCUCAGUUUGUACUCACACCCCCAUAAAGCCCUGGCUGUCCUGGAACUUGCUCUGUAGACCAGGCUAGCCUCAGACUCACAGAAAUCCUCCUGCCUCUACCUCCCUUUAGACACCCCACAGCAUCUUUGUCUUAAAUACUAGGUAAUGUUUACUUGUUUCUUGAUGCUAAGAAUAUUAUAUAAAAGUAUGUUUAAUGUCCCUAAACAUUAUAUUUAAUUUAACACGCUCAUUUUAAUAUACAUUGUAAUUAAGAUAAGAAAAAAUAUACGCAUGCAAACACAGCUGCACAUGAUAUGCAAAUGUAUACCUGCUGGUGAAAAUUCAAGUGCGUAUUUGCAUGUGUUAUAGAAAAAUAUAUUUGCAUGUGAUAGCCAUGUGUAUGCAUGCGUGUAUGCUCCCUAUCUAUGCUGUGUGGGGUGAGUAGAAAGCUCUAGGUGGGCAGGAAUCUCUUGCACCUUCACCUGACUGGCCCUGGCAGCUGUUGCUGGAGAAGACCGGCCCUAGAGAUAGUCCUCUAGCUUUUUGUGAUUCCUUCUUGCCACCUUGCUAACCCAUAUGAAGGGUGCAUAUGAUUUGCAUAUAAUCUGCAUAUCUUACAAGUUUACAGGCUGUCAUGGUGGGUAUGUUCUUAUUACCAUAUAGUGGUGAAACCUUCCAGUGCUUUUGACUUCGUCCAACAGCUGUUCCUUUGGCAUUGGUAGUGACCCUGGGGUAUGCUUUAAGGGACUUUAUCGUUGGAAAGUGGGUACCCAGAAGGCUUUUAUGAGGGGAGCUCUGGCAUCCAGUGCUUCCAACUUGGACCUGUGGGUACCAUUUCCCAAGAUGGACUUAGGCUAUGUAAAAGCUGGAAAGAAUUAAACACCUAAGGAGGCAGCUGUGUGGGCUGGGGCUCUCACAGAACUGCCCAGACUGUGUGUGCGGCUUUCAUCACCUGCUAGUGUCUACAGAAAGAGUUGGCACAUUGCCUGUUAUUUUGUCACAUCGGGGCUGGAGAUCAAACUCCCCAGUUUUCUCCUGCAUGGUUAAUCACUUCUGUAUCUAUUUCUUGUUACUCUGAAGCUGAAUUAGCAAUGGGUGUGAAGAUUAUUACUUAAUCUAUACUUCCAUGGAAAAUUUGAUCCUUCUAAGUGUAGAAGAUAAUUUGUACCAAACAAAACAAAACAAAAUAGCUUUUGUCCAAAAUGUUCCUGGGGUCACUCUGAUUUCAGCCAAUUGCCCAGGAGUGAUUGCGUUGGCACGUGUCAGUGGCCUGUUAGGCAAGCAUUGUUUUUAAUACCUGCCAUUAUACUUUGAACUUUGACACGGACAUGGAGGGAAUGUACUGACUUCAUGGGCAACUCAGCACUGCCUUGGACUUGGACACUCAUGGGGACUUUGGGGACAAACAAAGCAACAGAUUCUCAAAACCAGAAAGUUCGUGAGUUGAAGAGGCGGUGCACAGGAGGAACUGUUACAUAAAAGUGUCUCUGGUUUCCAGAACUUUCCAGAACUUCACUGGUGAAGCCUCCAUGUUAUCCUGUUGACAGCUGGAGAAGGAAGGCUCUGUUACAUUCAGCCUGAUAGACCCUGCUGAUAAGCAGCCUUGAGAGGGGUUUUCCAGCCCACACCUGAUAGAAAGUUUCAGUAUAGGGGUGCUGAAGGGGAUCAUGCCGGGGUGCUGAAGCAAUCCCUAUUCGCCUUUGACUGGUACAAAGAAAGAAUGAGGCGCGCUGUAAGGACUUUGAGGCCCCUGAAGUAAAGUAGAACCCCCCAUUCUGUUGUGGGCGGCCUCAGUGCUUCAGGAACAGCAAGUGGCAUUUCUCAAGAAGAUGGAAUUUUCCUACUCUGUUGGCAGUAACAUCCGGGUGACACGUGUGCCACUCCUGUGCCAGGUGAGUAUCUAAGUGCAGGAGACAGUCUUCAGAUGUUUGCCAAGAAAGCACGCCCAAGAAGAGACAGGAACAAUCACCUUUUCUGGUUUUGUUUUGGUUCAUUUGAGACAAGAGCUUGCUCUGUCAUCCAGGAUGGCCUUUAACACCUAAUCCUUCUGCCCCAGCCUCCCUUAUGCUGAGAUCACAGGUGUAAACCUAGCUCAGGAAUGCAGCUGUCCGAAAUCUGGUUCUGAGUAGCUUUUCCCACCCCACCCCCUCAGCACUAGGGAUCAAGUCUAGGACUUUUCACUUGGUAGGUAAGUGCUCUACCAGUGAACUGCUCCACCGGCUUCUCCUGGUUCGGAGGCUUCAUAUUUGUGAGGACUGCGUGGUGGUCUGGCUUCUCUGUACUCUUAAUGGAGUGUAUUAUAUUAUCUGUAUGUAAUAUGCACCUUAAAACGUUAACUGCCAGACUUGUAAAAGUUAUAAGACUGUAUACUCUAAUCAAACAGUGUGAAAUCUGGUUCCCAGGGAGAAGCUGCCAGAACAUUCUUAGCCAACCUCUGCUGCUGAAAGCACCCUUCACUUUUUUUUUUCCCACAUGUGUGGGUGUUUUGCCUGCAUGUAUGUCUGUAUACUAAUUGUGUGCCUGCCCACAGAGUCCAGAAGAGGGCACAGGAUUCCAUGAAAGUGGAGUUAUAGAUAGUUAUGAGAAGCUGUGUGUGUGGAUGCUGGGAAUCGAACCCAGGUCCUCUGAAAGAGCAGCCAAUGUUCUUAACCACUUAGCUCCUGAAGGCACCUUUGGCUUUUUAUGGACGUGAGUUCCAAAGUCAGUUGCAGAGGAGAAUACUAAGCCCCAGUCUGGGAAGGGGGAGGGGAGAGAGAAUUCACCUCUUGUGAAGGACACAUUCAGGAGGAUAAAGGGUUGCGAGACAUACAUUCUCUCAGGACAGCAAACAGCCUUUUGUCUGGCUUCCUCUUGUCAGAGCUUGCCAAGAAGUUGGGAAAAAAAGAAAGGUCCAGAAGACAGCUGAGCCUGGCCACACCUUCCAAGGAGAGAGUGGCUCAGUUCAGCUUCCCUCUGCACUUUUCUUGGCAAUAUGAUUGUCCCGAUUUUGACACUGCCCAGGUGGGCUUUCAGAUGUGGCUUAGUUAAGUACUUGCUUAGCUUGCACAAGCCCCUGGCUCCCAUCACUAGUAGGGUGCAAGCCAGAUGUGAUAGUACACACCUGUGAUCCCAGCAUGCAGGAGGUGGAGACAGGAGGAUCUGAAGUUCAAGGUUAUUCUCUGGCACAUGGCAAGUUCCAGGCCAGUCUGGGCCACAUGAGACCCUGUCUCAAAAAAAAAAAAACAGAAGAGGAGGAAGAGGGCCAUACCAGCUUAUUUCUUUCUCUCUCAGUGUGUGUGUGUGUGUGUGUGUGUGUGUGUGUGUGUGUGUGUGUGUAGAAAAGGGGAGAGAGGGGCCAGGGCAAGGGAAGACAGGAAGCUUGGUACAGUGUGUUAGCUAACACACUGCUCUGGUUGGCUCCUGUAAGUGCGACACACAAGGCUGACACACAGGCUCGGGGGAGUGUGUGAGGUGUGUGUAUGUAUACACGAACUUGAGUGCAAGAUCUCUGGCAGUCAGGAUGCAGAUCAGUCCUGCAAAGCUUGUGUCACACUGCCCUGCCCACCUUCACUCUCUUCCUCAAUCCCAGUGAAGGGCGAGAGGUUCUGACCCUCCUGGGACCCGGCUGAGGUCUUAGGAGAACACUGGCUGCUUUCACAGAUUCACAUGGGAGGCCUCCACCUGUCUCGUCUGGACCCGAGGGCCUGGGGUGCCAGUACUAGAACCCUAGCCCAUGCCGCCGCUGGUGGAGACCGUUCUGAUUUUAAUCCCGAGGACGCUUACUCCAAAGUCAUUCUGCUCCACACAGCCACUGGGGGCCCAGGUUCUGCAGGGGCAGACAUUGUCUGAGGUGUCAUUUCAAGGCUAGAGCCAGGGUGUCUGUAGAGAGCCCCACUCAUGCAGGUAGAGAACCCCUGGGCCCCUCUGGUCUGAUCCCCUUCCCCUUGCAGCAUGGGGGAUGGUGGGGUGUCCUCAGUCCUUAGUUGCAUUGCUUGGUUAAACGUGACACCACAAAGGAGCCUGCGCUGUGGCUAAAUGAUGUACUUCUAAAUCUAAGAUAAAGGUGUUGAAGUAGCUUCUCUGGAGGGACCAGGCAAGUCACUGUCUUUGGAUGAAGGACGGUGGAGUUUUGUUCAUGGUAACACUCAGUUUUGGGUCCAGUAGACUCAGGAGAGGGGCGCUUCAGGUGUUUCUGGGUGCACAAGUCAAGUCACCCCAGUUUAAAACUGGUGACAACUUAAAAGAAGGUCAAAUGUUCUUGCCAACGGAGCGAGAGACCGGUGGAGCUGAUCUGGUGUGAGCCUGCAGGCGACCUGUGCUCUGGAUGUUUGUUCGCUGACCCUCAUUUUUCCGUUCUAGGUUCCAGAAUCCGAAGAGCAGGAGGAAGCUGAGUGGUGACACUUGGAAGUGCUUUAGUCAUUCAUUAAGUUGUUGCUUUUCUCAAGUGGGUGUUGUGGCAACUUUAAUGAUUAACAGUGUGCAGUGCUCUGGAGCCUGCCAGCGGGAUGCUGGGGUCUGCUGCCUUGGUUUACCCCCUGGGGAUAUGGGAUGGACAUAGUGUGCUGGGUACCUGGCCUCUACCUAGACUGACUGCAGAGCUAAGUCCAGGUCUAGCCCUGUGUGUGCUGUUCUCACCACCCAGCCCUCUCCAGGCCAGCACUCUGGUACGACCUGUUGGCCUUCAUGAUUUCUAUCACCUUAAUCAAUCCUGACUUGGGGGAUCCAGGUCAUUGUCCCACUGACUGCCCACUCCCAGCAGAGCACAAAUGUCGAGACAGGAACAGCAAGACAGCCUCUGGCAAUUUCAGUUCCAAGCGCUAGGUGGUGGGUUGUGUUGUUAGGGGCAGAUCAGAACUCUGACGUCCUCAGGGACACUCCCAGAAUAAGACUCUCACUGCUGUGAAGUAGUGUAGGCUAGGAGAAGCACAGAGCUCUAGGGAUUUGCUUGUCUACCUACCUUGUGCUGAGCUUACAAGGAUGCCGCCAUACCUGGCUCUUUAAAUGUGGCUGUGGGUUUGAACUCAGAUUCUCCUGCUUGCAUGACAAGUAUUUUAUUGACUGAACCAUCUCCCCAGCCUCCUACAAGAAAUAUUUUAAUAAGCCCUAAGACAGCUGAUUGUGGCCAUCUUUCUCCAGUACUCAAGGACUGACAUUGGUAUGUAUGUGAGUACACACACACACACACACACACACACACACACACACACACACACACACAAACACACACUGUGAGGGUUUCUUCUUGGAUAAGCACCUGUCUCUUUUUAUGAAUCGACCUCUAAAACUACUUUAAGGACCCUGUAAAUCACCCUCCCAUGUCAGCUUGGCCACCUGAGAGUGCUGAAUGCACACCCCUGCCUCCUUCCCACCUCAGAGCCCGUAGGAGGUUGGAGAAGAAACAAGGUCUAGCUCCUGCAAGCAUGGACCUUAGGAAAAGGCUUGGGCUUGGCAGGAGAACGCUGGAGGAAUAUAAGCCAGGGGAGCAUUUUAGAAACUUCUUUGGAUGGAAGACAUGGCUCAGUGGUUAAGAGUGUAUACUGUGGGCUGGAGAGAUGGCUCAGAGGUUAAGAGCACUGGCUGUUCUCCCAAAGUUCCUGAGUUCAAUUCCCAGCAACCACAUGGUGGCUUAUAACCAUCUAUAGUGAGAUCUGGUGUUCUCUUCUUGCCUGCAGAUGCAGGCAGAAUACUGUAUAAAUAAUAAUAAAUAAAUCUUUGGAAACUUUUAUUAAAAAAAGAAA